AGUGUAUCGGUUGUGACCACCUGUUGCAUUGCCGAGUAGCUAUGUUCGGAAGAGAUAAGCGCUGAAAGCAUAUUAAGCGCGAAGCCCACUCCAAGAUUAGAAUUCCCUAUGAGAUCCCAGAAAGAAGAUCUGGUUGAUAGGCGCAAGAUGGAAGUACCGCAAGGUAUGGAGUCGAAGCGUACUAAUAGAUCCAUCGCCUUUUUAU
rnacentral:rRNA from 1 species